ACUGGUUACUUAAGAAAGGAGAAAGAAGCAUUGUGAUUAUGUCCAAGGAAGAUGAAAGGCGAUUGUAUCAGUGUUUUAGGAAGUAUGAUAUCAUCUCAAAACAGUGAUCUCUCACACACACGCGCAUGUUCUCUCUCUCUCCAAAGAAGCUGAUUAGGUUUUUGGGUGGUUCUUUCCGGUUUGACGAGCUUGUGGAAAUGGUGGAAACAAAUAUCAAUAAAAGAAGCAGACCUCCAAAAAGGCGAAGAGUCUCAUCAUCAAGCUCGAGAGGAAUUGCAGCAACACAAGAAAACAUGGAUGGAGCCCUUGUUGAGACCAUCACAAGGUGUUUCCAAGAGUUGGACGCUAACUCCACCUAACCCUAAAAUGGGCCGUUAAUGUUCUCUCAUAUUAAUUCCAAUGAAUACAUAGACGA